rnacentral:rRNA from 1 species
AUUGAACGCUGGCGGCAGGCCUAACACAUGCAAGUCGAGCGGAUGAGUGGAGCUGCUCCAUGAUUCAGCGGCGGACGGGUGAGUAAUGCCUAGGAAUCUGCCUGGUAGUGGGGGACAACGUUUCGAAAGGAACGCUAAUACCGCAUACGUCCUACGGGAGAAAGUGGGGGACCUUCGGACCUCACGCUAUCAGAUGAGCCUAGGUCGGAUUAGCUAGUUGGUGAGGUAAAGGCUCACCAAGGCGACGAUCCGUAACUGGUCUGAGAGGAUGAUCAGUCACACUGGAACUGAGACACGGGCCAGACUCCUACGGGAGGCAGCAGUGGGGAAUAUUGGACAAUGGGCGAAAGCCUGAUCCAGCCAUGCCGCGUGUGUGAAGAAGGUCUUCGGAUUGUAAAGCACUUUAAGUUGGGAGGAAGGGCAGUAAGUUAAUACCUUGCUGUUUUGACGUUACCAACAGAAUAAGCACCGGCUAACUUCGUGCCAGCAGCCGCGGUAAAAC